UGGGGAAUAUUGGACAAUGGGGGCAACCCUGAUCCAGCAAUGCCGCGUGUGUGGAGAAGGUCUUCGGAUUGUAAAGCACUUUCGACGGGGACGAUGAUGACGGUACCCGUAGAAGAAGCCCCGGCUAACUUCGUGCCAGCAGCCGCGGUAAUACGAAGGGGGCUAGCGUUGCUCGGAAUGACUGGGCGUAAAGGGCGUGUAGGCGGUUUACACAGUCAGAUGUGAAAUCCCCGGGCUUAACCUGGGAGCUGCAUUUGAUACGUGUAGACUAGAGUGUGAGAGAGGGUUGUGGAAUUCCCAGUGUAGAGGUGAAAUUCGUAGAUAUUGGGAAGAACACCGGUGGCGAAGGCGGCAACCUGGCUCAUGACUGACGCUGAGGCGCGAAAGCGUGGGGAGCAAACAGGAUUAGAUACCCUGGUAGUCCACGCUGUAAACGAUGUGUGCUAGAUGUUGGGUAACUUUGUUAUUCAGUGUCGCAGUUAACGCGUUAAAGCACACCGCCUGGGGAGUACGGCCGCAAGG
rnacentral:rRNA from 1 species